UACGAAGGGGGCUAGCGUUGCUCGGAAUUACUGGGCGUAAAGGGAGCGUAGGCGGAUAUUUAAGUCGGGGGUGAAAGCCCAGGGCUCAACCCUGGAAUUGCCUUCGAUACUGGAUAUCUAGAGUAUGGGAGAGGUGUGUGGAACUCCGAGUGUAGAGGUGAAAUUCGUAGAUAUUCGGAAGAACACCAGUGGCGAAGGCGACACACUGGCCCAUUACUGACGCUGAGGCUCGAAAGCGUGGGGAGCAAACAGGG
rnacentral:rRNA from 1 species